rnacentral:rRNA from 1 species
UACCAGCACCCCGAGUGGUCGGGACGAUUAUUGGGCCUAAAGCAUCCGUAGCCGGUUUUACAAGUCCUCCGUUAAAUCCCAGCUGCUUAACAGAUGGGCUGCGGAGGAUACUAUAAGACUAGGAGGCAGGAGAGGCAAGCGGUACUCAGUGGGUAGGGGUAAAAUCCGUUGAUCCAUUGAAGACCACCAGUGGCGAAGGCGGCUUGCCAGAAUGCGCUCGACGGUGAGGGAUGAAAGCUGGGGGGAGCAAACCGGG